AUUGAACGCUGGCGGCAGGCCUAACACAUGCAAGUCGAGCGAGCGGCGGACGGGUGAGUAAUGUCUGGGCAACUGCCUGCUUUAGGGGGAUAACUACUGGAAACGGUAGCUAAUACCCCAUACCAUCAGAUGUGCCCAGAUGGGAUUAGCUAGUAGGGGGGGUAAUGGCUCACCUAGGCGACGCUCCCUAGCUGGUCUGAGAGGAUGACCAGACACACUGGAACUGAGACACGGUCCAGACUCCUACGGGAGGAAGCAGUGGGGAAGAUGGCACAAUGGGCGCAAGCCGGAUGCAGCCAUGCCGCGGGUGUGAAGAAGGCCUUCGGGUUGUAAAGCACGUUCAGCGGGGAGGCGUUACCCGCAGAAGAAGCACCGGCUAACUCCGUGCCAGCAGCCGCGGUAAUAC
rnacentral:rRNA from 1 species